rnacentral:rRNA from 1 species
CCUACGGGAGGCAGCAGUGAGGAAUAUUGGUCAAUGGGCGCGAGCCUGAACCAGCCAAGUAGCGUGAAGGAUGACUGCCCUACGGGUUGUAAACUUCUUUUAUAAAGGAGUAAAGUGAGGCACGUGUGCCUUUUUGUAUGUAUUUUAUGAUUAAGGCUCGGCUAACUCCGUGCCAGCAGCCGCGGUAAUACGGAGGGUCCGAGCGUUAUCCGGAUUUAUUGGGUUUAAAGGGAGCGUAGAUGGGUUGUUAAGUCAGUUGUGAAAUUUUACGGCUUAACCGUAAAAUUGCAAUUGAUACUGGUAGUCUUGAGUACAGUUGAGGUAGGCGGAAUUCGUGGUGUAGCGGUGAAAUGCUUAGAUAUCACGAAGAACUCCGAUUGCGAAGGCAGCCUACUAGACUGCCACUGACAUUGAUGCUCGAAAGUGUGGGUAUCAAACAGGAUUAGAUACCCCUGUAGUC